CGGUCAAUGGAAUUUGGAGGAGGACCCCAUUGUAAUUUUCCACCAUAAUGAUGAUCUCACAAUUUCUUUUUCAUGGCUGGUGAAAUGGCGAUCAUGAUUCAUAAUCAUCUGCGUACCUUCUUUCUCCUGCUUUUCUCUCUGCCUUCCAUCCGGUAAUGGUAGGGAGAAAAGCGUUCGUUGUAGGAUUCGAUUAGUUGCGAGUUUUUGGUGAUCCUGGAGGUCAUAUUGUUGCCAUGGCUGCUGGAAUUUCGUUUUCGAGGAAGAGGAAGAUCAAUGGAUUUAUGAGUGUCUUGUCAUCCGCUGCAUGUGAAUGGUUCUUGAUGUUCUUGCUAUUUGUCGAUGCAGCAUUUUGGUAUCUGCUCCUAAAAUUUGCUCGCUAUUGUGAACUGGAAACACCUUGUCUGUUAUGCUCGAGGCUUGAUCAUGGUUUGGGAAAAAAGAAACCUGCAUUAUGUUGGAGCUUAUUGUGCAGUGAGCACAGAGAAGAGAUAUCUUCACUAGUGUCUUGUUCUGUCCAUUGUAGAUUUGCUGAUGUUCAUAGCAUGUGUGAAGAGUGUCUCACAUCGAGUGCUAUGCAGAAAAAAUCGAGCUCCUCUGAAAACAUGAUUUGUUCCUGCUGCAGCAUCGCGGUGAGGGCUAAAUCUAAUGCUGAAAGAUUGGUAGAACUUGACCCCCUUGGUUUUGGGGUUUCUAGGGGUAACGUCAGGCUGCCUCUGCCUCGUACCCCAAGUUCGAGUCAUUUCAGUCGUAGAGAUAGCUUAAAAAGGCUUAGAGAUAAGUUCGCAGGGACAAUGGCAAAUCAACCAGCUCGGGGAAAUAGUGUUGGUGCUGAUACAAUGUCUACUGUAGCGUAUACAAAGCUGAAAUUGUCCUCUGAUUCUGAGUCUGAAUUUGCACAUUCAGAAGAUGAUGAUGAUGUGAACACUGAUUCUGGUGUUAACAACUUUGGCACCCUGGAGCAUGAUAUUGAACAAAGCAUGCACGAACCACCAUCUGAUAGCAGUGCUCUAAAGUGCCAGACGGGUCAAGGUUUUGAAGCGAAAUCUUUAGCUCUUGAUCCGCCUAGUAUGAUUAAAACAAGAGAGCACAAGGAUGGCGAUACUUUGUCAUCUGAUGCCAAUACAGAGCAUUUUGCGGAUCUUGAUCAGGAAGAAGAGUCUUAUUAUAAACGUAGUUCAUCUUUGACACGAAAGCUAAUUUCUUUAUGUGAUAGUUUCUCACCACGUGAUGGUGCUGUUGGGGCAUUAGCAGUGACAUCUGAAUCCAGUGUUCCUCACACGCCAGCCAUCUCUGUACCAUCUGAGGUUAUUUCUGUAUGCAGUGUUCCUCCAUUAUCCAAUGACACAACACCAGAAAAAGAAGACACUGGGGAAACCAGUGAGAAUGUAGAACCAUCUGAGGCCAGACAUGUAAGAGCUACUGUAGGGACUUAUUCGGAUGAAACUCGUUUGUCAGAGGAAAAUGAUACACAUCAUAGUGAUGCUUCAAUUCAUGCUGAUGAAACUCUACAACUAUCAUCUAGGAAUGCUUUUAAGCCAACAGAGACCCGUGGUUCUGCUAAAAUUGAAGAUGUAGCUGCAGUAUCUACUUCUGCUGUGGACAUAUUACCAGAAGAACCCAGUCAUAGAGCUCAUCAUAAACGAGGUGAAUUUAGGAUAGGAGAAUCUCCUUAUUCUCAGGUACUUCCAUUUGCAGCCUUAUCAGAGAAUAAGGACUCCUCAUAUAUAUCUGUGGAUGAAAUCACUGUGAGUGACAUUGAAGGUGAAAGUAUGGUUGAUCAGCUAAAACGACAGGUUGAGCAUGAUCACAACUGCCUGAAUUCUUUGUACAAGGAAUUGGAUGCAGAAAGAAAUGCUGCUGCUAUUGCAGCAGAAGAAGCAAUGGCUAUGAUUACAAGAUUGCAGGAGGAGAAGGCAGCAUUACGUAUGGAGGCAUUGCAUUACCUACGGAUGAUGGAGGAGCAAGCAGCAUAUGAUACGCAGGCACUGGAAAAAGCUAAUGAUCUUCUUGCUGAAAGGGAGAGGGAAUUGCAAGACUUGGAAUAUGAGUUAGAAUCUUAUAGAAAUAACUUCCUUGAUGAGCCAGAUGAAGAUGAUAGACAAGAGACCUCAGAUCUGGACAAUCAAACUACAGCCCAAACAGAAACAAGUCCUGGGGCUUCUAGCAACUCCAAAGCUGAUAAAAUCUUGAGACCACCCUAUGGCAACUGCAAACCUACUAGUGGCUCGGUAUCAAGCUUUGAGGAUGAAAAUAUAUACUCUGGCAAUGUUUGAAGAAGUUGGAGGAGCUCCAUCAAGCUCAUUUUAGUAGAAACUUAAAUGAAAUGCCUCAUGGCCCAUGUUCUAGAAAGAUUAAGUAGAGGUUGACAAUCUUGAAUUUAACUCACAAACAAGAAAAAUUUAGAUCAGGAGAAUGAAGAGAAUAGUUCUGUUGUGCAAAAAGUCAUUUCUAUAUCUAUUCAAAAACUGCACUCCCAACUCAUGACAGAGAAAAUUCACAUUGAACUCAAAAGGCGAUGACCAUCCAGCCAGAUUUUCAUCUGUCGAUAUCAAAUUAUUGCCUGAAAGUUCGCCACAUAAAUGACUGGAAGGGAUCUGCUUUGGCACUCAGAGAGCCAUCCACAUCAUCAGUCAUGAUCGAGGGGGAGGGGCCAAUAUGGAGAUGAUCAAGAUGUUUUGAUCGUAAGUGUCUUCCUACCUAUGGAUGUGAUUACGAGAAGCUCCAAAGGGAUCUACUCGAACCUCCACUUAAUCUUUUCCCAGAAGAUCAAGAAUCACGCUUGAGGAGUGGAACAUGUAUAAUCAAUGUAAUCUUCGAUUUUUUCUUUUAGUUGGAGAUUCGACUGCAGAGGUAUUCGUUCUCCUUUUAAAUUUGUUUACAUUUGCAGGUUGAUUCUAUAAGUUUGACAAUCUUGUAGUGCGUAGUUGAUCAUGUAAACUGUGGAUAUGAGUGUAUGAGCUGGUGGGCUCUUGCAAGGCUGUUAACGGCUUAGUGCAAGAUGCAGAUUGCUUAUCUAAUUAAGUAAUAUCAAGUCUUUCGU